rnacentral:rRNA from 1 species
AUUCCAGCUCCAAUAGCGUAUAUUAAAGUUGUUGCAGUUAAAAAGCUCGUAGUUGAACUUUUGGUGAGGCGCUGUGGUUUAGCAUUUGCUGGACUGCAGUGCUGAGCCUCUUUUGGGGGAAACGUCACUUGUGGCGGCGAACCCGUGUUACUGUGAGGAAAUUAGAGUGUUUAAAGCAGGCGAUCGCUUGAAUACAUUAGCAUGGAAUAACAAGAUAGGACUUGGUUCUACUUGUUGGUUUGGGAGCCAAAGUAAUGAUUAAUAGGGCCAGUUGGGGGCAUUAGUAUUCAGCAGUCAGAGGUGAAAUUCUUGGAUUUGCUGAAGACUAACUAGUGCGAAAGCAUUUGCCAAGGAUGUUUUCAUUAAUCAAGAACGAAAGUUAGGGGAUCGAAGACGAUCAGAUACCGUCGUAGUCUUAACUAUAAACGAUGCCGACUCGGGAUCGGCAGGAUUCGUUCGCGAACCUGUCGGCACCGUGUGAGAAAUCAAAGUUUUUGGGUUCUGGGGGGAGUAUGGUCGCAAGGCUGAAACUUAAAGGAAUUGACGGAAGGGCACCACCAGGAGUGGAGCCUGCGGCUUAAUUUGACUCAACACGGGAAAACUCACCAGGUCCGGACAUAGUAAGGAUUGACAGAUUGAGAGCUCUUUCUUGAUUCUGUGGGUGGUGGUGCAUGGCCGUUCUUAGUUGGUGGAGUGAUUUGUCUGGUUAAUUCCGAUAACGAACGAGACCUUAACCUGCUAACUAGAGCACAUUACGUGAGUAGUGUGUUACUUCUUAGAGGGACUGACUAUGUUUAAUAGUCGGAAGUUUGAGGCAAUAA